UAAAGUACAAAUGUCUCUGUGUGACGUGACCAUCCGAGGGAGAAAGUCCAGGGGUGUGGGGGCACUCAGCAUGACCGGUUCAGAGCCGCUAUAGCUCUUGGAAUAAAGCUGUUUCUGUGUCUGGAGGUUCGAACGUAGAAGGCCUUGUAACGUCUGCCGGAGGGAAGUAGUUCAAACAGUCGGUUACAGGGGGGU